AUGGAGUGUAACCUAAAGAUUCUAUUCUGGAAUGUGCGUGGUUUGAACAAUGGUGCCAAACACACUGCUGUCUAUAGCGUGAUCACCGCUGCUUCGCCCUCUAUCGUGUGCCUGCAAGGGACCAAACUCGCGGUCGUCACGGAUUCCCUUGUUCUGGACACUCUCGGCCCUCUCUACGAGGAUUUCUACUCCCUUCCCGCAAUCGGCACCCGCGGCGGCAUGAUCCUUGCA
rnacentral:rRNA from 1 species